GGAAAGAGCCCAAACCAAGAAGCUUGCUUCUUGGGGUUGUAGGACACUCUAUACGGAGUUACAAAAGAAAGUUAUAAAUGAAGCGGUCUGGAAAGGCCCGCCAAAGACGGUAACAGCCCGGUAGUUGAAAUGGCUUUCCCUCCAGAGUGGAUCCUGAGUACGGCGGAACACGUGAAAUUCCGUCGGAAUCCGGGAGGACCAUCUCCCAAGGCUAAAUACUCCCUAGUGACCGAUAGUGAACCAGUACCGUGAGGGAAAGGUGAAAAGCACCCCGGAAGGGGAGUGAAACAGUUCCUGAAACCGUGUGCCUACAAGUAGUUAGAGCCCGUUAAUGGGUGAUAGCGUGCCUUUUGUAGAAUGAACCGGCGAGUUACGAUUUGUUGCAAGGUUAAGCGGAAAAAGCGGAGCCGUAGCGAAAGCGAGUCUGAAUAGGGCGCAUAAGUAACAGGUCGUAGACCCGAAACCAGGUGAUCUACCCAUGUCCAGGAUGAAGGUAAGGUAAUACUUACUGGAGGUCCGAACCCACGCACGUUGAAAAGUGCGGGGAUGAGGUGUGGGUAGCGGAGAAAUUCCAAUCGAACUUGGAGAUAGCUGGUUCUCUCCGAAAUAGCUUUAGGGCUAGCCUCGAGGUAAAGAGUCAUGGAGGUAGAGCACUGUUUGGACUAGGGGCCCUUCUCGGGUUACCGAAUUCAGAUAAACUCCGAAUGCCAUGUACUUAUACUCGGGAGUCAGACUGCGAGUGAUAAGAUCCGUAGUCGAAAGGGAAACAGCCCAGACCACCAGUUAAGGUCCCCAAAUAUAUGUUAAGUGGAAAAGGAUGUGGGGUUGCUUAGACAACCAGGAUGUUGGCUUAGAAGCAGCCACCAUUGAAAGAGUGCGUAAUAGCUCACUGGUCGAGUGACCCCGCGCCGAAAAUGUACCGGGGCUAAACAUAUUACCGAAACUGUGGAUGAACCUCUUUAGAGGUUCGUGGUAGGAGAGCGUUCUAAGGGCGGUGAAGUCAGACCGGAAGGACUGGUGGAGCGCUUAGAAGUGAGAAUGCCGGUAUGAGUAGCGAAAGAAGGGUGAGAAUCCCUUCCACCGAAUAUCUAAGGUUUCCUGAGGAAGGCUCGUCCGCUCAGGGUUAGUCG
rnacentral:rRNA from 1 species